UUUCACCGUAACAUCCAAAACAGCCAUCAAAGAUGUUGACGGCUGAUACAGCAACACAACAAACUUUUCUACACAACAUACAAAUUCUUAUCAACAUCAGGCCUACUCCCUAGACCUGCCAAUAGAUGUGGGAGUUUAAUGAACUGUUUCCAGUUGUCUUCGUGUGACCACUGAACUGGCUGGUGGUGUCACAACCAGUGACACUGUGGAAUCCAAUUAGAGAUGUGUGGAUUGGCUCAGGCAAUUCUUACAUACUUUCAUGAACUGGAAUAAUCUUAUUGGGUUGCUUCUCUUUAUCCAAACUUUAGGCACAAGAUUAUGCCACAGAAGAAGGACCAAUAUGUCUGUGUCAUCACAGGAGAAUACUAGAGAGGAGUAUCCCUGACUCACUGUACGUUUGCCAUGUAAAAGCAUUCUUGUGUCCACCUCUUCUUGUUGUGAAUGUAGUUGCAAAAUAUCACAUGAGCUGGAGUGCUCUGCUUUUCGGUCAGCAAAACCAUCAACAGCGAGCACUUGUUUACUUCAAAAACAUUGGUGUGAUUACUUAGGAAGUUCCUCACUUAAGAAAAUUAACUAUGCUUUCUUUGUUUCCUGGUAAGGUUACGAAACUACACCAUGAUGCCAGUAACAGAAGAGAUCUGCUGCUAAUGAUUCUGUGGAUUGGCCUAGUAGUUUGAGUCCUCAAUAUUCUUGUGUCAGCCUUACGGGUGGUGAUGCAUAUCAACUGAAGACAAUGUCAUCUCAAUUGCACAUAUUGGAAUAGUUAGCAAACACUUGUUGUGCAAAGGAAUCAGCCGAAUCCCCAAAUGUUCAUGCAGUUUUUGGCUUUCCUAUUCUCUGUACAAGAGCCAUACCAUCAAUAAUAACAGCUGACUUCUCAGAAGUAGCAUCUGGCAGAACAGUUACUGCUUUACCUCCAAUCAAGAUCCAUGACAAAACUGCUUUGUCAGCAAUUUGUUGAGCAAUUUGUUGGGUUUAAAAAGUGUUGGAGGAUAUCCAGACAGUUCACCUUGUAGGAGAGGGCACGUUGAACCUUCUACCUGCUGCAACUGCUGCGAGUAGCCUUUGCUGGAUCUUCUUUGUGUUCUGCAUCUAUAUCAUUUUGCUGCACUGUCCUAUAGUUGACUUUACAUCCUUGAAGGUUUUCAAUUUUGAUUAGGGUAUGUUUGCAUAGAAGCUCAGUAGCAUCUGCAGUAAGACAUCUAUAGACAAUGGUGUUCGCUAUUCCUCUUCCUUUGUCACAUGCAUUCAGAAUAUCUAAUGCAAUAUCUUCUAGCACAUCUCCCUUAGAAAUACGUAACAGCUUAUUGUUAGAAACCUUAAACAAGUUGAACAUUUUGAACUGCUCUUGUAGCAACUUGACAUUGUUGGAAUCUCAUUUCAGUUGUGUCCUUUGUCUUCGUUAUGAUUGAAAGA